AGGGCUAUAGCUCAGUUAGGUAGAGCACCUCCUACGGUUCGAGUCCGUAUAGCCCUA
rnacentral:tRNA from 1 species